rnacentral:rRNA from 1 species
CCUACGGGUGGCUGCAGUCGAGAAUCAUUCACAAUGGGGGAAACCCUGAUGGUGCGACGCCGCGUGGGGGAAUGAAGGUCUUCGGAUUGUAAACCUCUGUCAUGUGGGAGCAAAUUAAAAAGAUAGUACCACAAGAGGAAGAGACGGCUAACUCUGUGCCAGCAGCCGCGGUAAUACAGAGGUCUCAAGCGUUGUUCGGAAUCACUGGGCGUAAAGCGUGCGUAGGCUGUUUCGUAAGUCGUGUGUGAAAGGCGCGGGCUCAACCCGCGGACGGCACAUGAUACUGCGAGACUAGAGUAAGGGAGGGGGAACCGGAAUUCUCGGUGUAGCAGUGAAAUGCGUAGAUAUCGAGAGGAACACUCGUGGCGAAGGCGGGUUCCUGGACAUUAACUGACGCUGAGGCACGAAGGCCAGGGGAGCGAAAGGGAUUAGAUACCCGAGUAGUC